rnacentral:rRNA from 1 species
CAAUAGCGUAUAUUAAUGUUGUUGCAGUUAAAAAGCUCGUAGUUGGAUUUUGGUGUUUGACAAAUGGUCUGCCUUACGGUUUGUACUGUUUGUUGGCACUUCUUUUCUGGGGAACUCACUGCUCUUAACUGAGGGGUGUUGUAACGCAGAUCGUUUACUUUGAAAAAAUUAGAGUGUUCAAAGCAGGCCAACGCAUUGAAUACAUUAGCAUGGAAUAAUGGAAUAGGACUUUGGUCUUAUUUUGUUGGUUUCUAAGGCCGAGGUAAUGAUUAAUAGGGAUAGUUGGGGGCGUUUAUAUUCCGUUGUCAGAGGUGAAAUUCUUGGAUUUACGGAAGAUAAACUACUGCGAAAGCAUUCGCCAAGGAUGUUUUCAUUAA